rnacentral:rRNA from 1 species
GGAAUAUUGGACAAUGGGGGGAACCCUGAUCCAGCCAUGCCGCGUGUGUGAAGAAGGCCUUUUGGUUGUAAAGCACUUUAAGCGAGGAGGAGGCUCUUCUAGUUAAUACCUAGGAUGAGUGGACGUUACUCGCAGAAUAAGCACCGGCUAACUCUGUGCCAGCAGCCGCGGUAAUACAGAGGGUGCAAGCGUUAAUCGGAUUUACUGGGCGUAAAGGGUACGUAGGUGGUCUAUUAAGUCGGAUGUGAAAUCCCUGAGCUUAACUAAGGAAUUGCAUUCGAUACUGAGAGACUAGAGUAUGGGAGAGGAUGGUAGAAUUCCAGGUGUAGCGGUGAAAUGCGUAGAGAUCUGGAGGAAUACCGAUGGCGAAGGCAGCCAUCUGGCCUAAUACUGACACUGAGAGACGAAAGCUAGGGGAGCGAAUGGGAUUAGAUACCCCAG